GGGCGCGCCAUGCGAGCUCACAGGGCUGGGGAUCGCCAGGGCCCGGGCUUGCAGCCAGGGGCUUCCGGCCGCGGCCCCGGCGCGUGGUCUGCGCGCGCCCGGCCGUGCGUGCGGAUGCGGGGAGGCUGCGUGUGUGAGCAGGGCGAGAGCGCCGGCCACCUUCCCGCUUCCGAGCUGGGUGGGCGCCAAGCACAGGAGUAGUUCACAACAGAUCUGAGUGUUUUAAUUAAAGCAUGGAAUACAGAAAACAACAAAAAACUUAAGCUUUAAUUUCAUCUGGAAUUCCACAGAACCUUCGGCUCGCGUGCUUCUGAGCUGCUGUGGAUGGCCUCGGCUCUCUGGACUGUCCUUCCGAGUAGGAUGUCACUGAGAUCCCUCAAAUGGAGCCUCCUGCUGCUGUCACUCCUGAGUUUCCUUGUGAUGUGGUACCUCAGCCUUCCCCAUUACAAUGUGAUAGAACGCGUGAACUGGAUGUACUUCUAUGAGUAUGAGCCGAUUUACAGACAAGACUUUCACUUCACACUUCGAGAGCAUUCAAACUGCUCUCAUCAAAAUCCAUUUCUGGUCAUUCUGGUUACCUCCCACCCUUCAGAUGUGAAAGCCAGGCAGGCCAUUAGAGUUACUUGGGGUGAAAAAAAGUCUUGGUGGGGAUAUGAGGUUCUUACAUUUUUCUUAUUAGGCCAAGAGGCUGAAAAGGAAGACAAAAUGUUGGCAUUGUCCUUAGAGGAUGAACACCUUCUUUAUGGUGACAUAAUCCGACAAGAUUUUUUAGACACAUAUAAUAACCUGACCUUGAAAACCAUUAUGGCAUUCAGGUGGGUAACUGAGUUUUGCCCCAAUGCCAAGUACGUAAUGAAGACAGACACUGAUGUUUUCGUCAAUACUGGCAAUUUAGUGAAGUAUCUUUUAAACCUAAACCAUUCAGAGAAGUUUUUCACAGGUUAUCCUCUAAUUGAUAAUUAUUCCUAUAGAGGAUUUUACCAAAAAACCCAUAUUUCUUAUCAGGAGUAUCCUUUCAAGGUGUUUCCUCCAUACUGCAGUGGGUUGGGUUAUAUAAUGUCCAGAGAUUUGGUGCCAAGGAUCUAUGAAAUGAUGGGUCACGUAAAACCCAUCAAGUUUGAAGAUGUUUAUGUUGGGAUCUGUUUGAAUUUAUUAAAAGUUAACAUUCAUAUUCCAGAAGACACAAAUCUUUUCUUUCUAUAUAGAAUCCAUUUGGAUGUCUGUCAACUGAGACGUGUGAUUGCAGCCCAUGGCUUUUCUUCCAAGGAGAUCAUCACUUUUUGGCAGGUCAUGCUAAGGAACACCACAUGCCAUUAUUAACUUCACAUUCUACAAAAAGUCUAGAAGGACAGGAUACUUUGUGGAAAGUGUUAAAUAAAGUAGGUACUGUGGAAAAUUCAUGGGGAGGUCAGUGUGCUGGCUUGCACUGAACUGAAACUCAUGAAAAACCCACAGACUGGAGACUGGAGGGUUACACUUGUGAUUUAUUAGUCAGGCCCUUCAAAGAUGAUAUUUGGAAGAAUUAAGUAUAAAGGAAUUGGAGGUUUUUGCUAAAGAAAUUAAUAGGACCAAACAAUUUGGACAUGUCAUUCUGUAGACUAGAAUUUCUUAAAAGGGUGUUACUGAAUUAUAAGCUCACUAGGCUGUAAAAACAAAACAAUGUAGAGUUUUAUUUAUUGAACAAUGUAGUCACUUGAAGGUUUUGUGUAUAUCUUAUGUGGAUUACCAAUUUAAAAAUAUAUGUAGUUCUGUGUCAAAAAACUUCUUCACUGAAGUUAUACUGAACAAAAUUUUACCUGUUUUUGGUCAUUUAUAAAGUACUUCAAGAUGUUGCAGUAUUUCACAGUUAUUAUUAUUUAAUAUUCAAACUUUCUGUGUUUUUAAAUGUUUUGGCGAUUUCAAUACAAUAUAAAAAGGAUAGUGAAUCAUUCUUUACAUUCAAACAUUUUCCAGUUACUUAACUGAUCAGUUUAUUAUUGAUACAUCACUCCAUUAAUGUAAAGUCAUAUGUCAUUAUUGCGUAUCAGUAAUCUCUUGGACUUCGUUAAAUAUUUUACUGUGGUAAUAUAGAGAAGAAUUAAAGCAAGAAAAUCUGAAGUAUUGUCUUGUUUUUAAAAAAUACAGUCCCUAGUGUUUUUAGAAGUCACUUAAUCUGCCUCAUUUUUCCACCUGAAAAUUAGGAAUAAUGUAGAAUGCCAGGCAGUAAUUUCCUUUUGGAAAGGACUCUGAAGGCAGAAAAGAAGGGAGAGAACUUCAUGGGCAGAAUAUUAUAAAAAGAGUGUCAUAUUCCAGCAUUUGGAUUGGAAAGAAAAGAUUGAAGAUCCAAGUUGCAUUAUUAAUCUGCCCUAUGUUUUUUCCUUUUAACAAUCAGUUUGAGCUGCUGCUGUUAUGAGUUUCUCAUCAAGAUGAAAGCCCUAAUGUGUAAAGUCAAAUCUGAUUUAAAUUUUGUGCUUUUAUAGAAAGAAAUUUCUUCAUAGACGUGGUGAUAUAUCAUUUGUUGGACCUGCUUAAUAGUAGGUCAAAGAGGAGCACUCCUUGCCCCCCCCAUUCCUGGGUUUAUGCAGUUUUCUUUUUAGAGUUUAUGUAGGGCAAGUGGUUCUUUUUCUCUGAAUUACAGGAUGGAAAAAGGUCAUAUCCUUUGUCAGGAAAUAUAAACUUGAAAGUAUGUAGUCAGCUCUUGUAAUACUCAUAUUUAUGAUUGUCCUAUAUGAAAAACAACUUCAGUUAAAACUAUAAUGUGUGGUUCUCUAUAACAAGGUGAUGUCUGUUUCCCAGGGCUCAGACCUAAUCCAGUUAUAAUAAAAUCAUUUAAAUGAAAUAUUCUAUGGAAUCGAUCUAUGCCCUUGUUAAUCUCCAUCCAUAUAGGAGUCACUUUCUUUAAGACAGAUGGUGGUAGUUAUUUUUGUGGCAUGGUUAGAUUUGACUGGUUUUGCAGAAGAUUACAGUCAUGUACUGCAUAAUGACAUAUACAAUAGUGGUCUCAUAAAAUUAUAAUGGAGCAGAAAAUCUAUUGCCUCAUGAUGUUAUAGCCGUUUUAAUGUCAUAGCCUCGUGCAUUACUCACGUGUCUGUGAUGAUGCUGGUGUAAACAAACCUACUACACUGCCAGUUGUAUAAAAGUACAGCACAUUCAGUUAUGUAUAGUACGUAAUACUGAUAAUGACAAUAAAUGACACCGGUUUGUGUAUUUACUUUUUAUCAUUAUUUUAGAGUGUUCUCUUUCUACUUAAAAAAAAAAUGUUUAAUACAGCCUUGGGCAGGUCCCUCAGGAGGUAUUCCAGAAGAAAGCAUUAUCAUCAUAGGAGAUGACAGCUCCAUUCAUGCUAUUUCUCCUGAAGACCUUCCAGUGAGACAAGAUGUGGUGAUAGAAGACAGUGAUACUGAUGAUCCUGACCCUGUGGGCCUAGGCUAAUGUGUUGUGUUUGUGUCUUAAGUUUUUAACAAAGUUUAAAAGGUAGAAAAAUAAAGUUUAAAAUAGGAAAAAGCUUAUAGAAUAAGGAUAUAAAGAAUAUUUUUGUACAGUUUUACAAGAUGUUUGUGUUUUAAGCUAAGUGUCAGAAAACUUCGACAAAAGAGUCAAAGUUUGAAAGUUUGUAAAGUUAAGUUACGGUGAGUUAAGGUUAAUUACCGAAGAAAGAAAAUUGUUAAAUGAAUUUAGUGUGGCCUACUUUAAGUGUGCCGUGUUUGUAAAGUCUACAGUAGUGCACAGUAAUGUUCGAGGCCUUCACAUUCACCCACCACUCACUCAGUGACUCACACAGAGCAACUUCCACCCCUGCAAGCUCUAUUCAUGAUACACCAGUACCAUUGUGUGACAGUCUCCAACAGAUCCAGGCUGAUGGGCAGCCCGUUUGGAACAUGCUGUUCUUAUAGAAGGAAAUUAAAAAGCUGGUGGAAGCACAGUGGCAUAUAUUAAUACAUCCAAUGGCUGAGAUGAAUCCCUUGCCAAGCCCAGUGUCACUGAGGUGGGGAAGUAUAUUUCUCUUGCAGGAAGUAACCGCAAGUGGUGUUGCAGCAUGCAGGAAUGUAUUGUUCCACAGAAUGGGGAAUGAAAAACUGAGUGCAGUCAUACUGUAAUUUGCCACACUCAGUAUCUGAAAGGGAGAGGGAGCCUUCAGACAAUGCCAGACAACUCUGCAACAGACCCCAAUUUAGGCCCUGUAAACCAGAAACGUAAGAAAUAAUUUUUGCCUAAUGCUACCAACUUUGGGGAUGCUUUCUUAUGAUAAUUAAAACAUCUCUCACUAGGGAAAUUUACCAUUGUCUGUGGCCCCGGGGGCCAAGCCUUCUCUCCUCACAUCUGGCCCCUCCUCUAUACAUGCCGGGCCUUACCCCUGCUUGAGGUUAUCAAUGAGUAAUUUCCAAAACUCCUUUCCACUUAGCUCUGUUUCUGUUUCACUUUCUCCUUUCAGACCAUGUGGGAAGCAAGGCAGAGGUGAAUGCUGCUUAACAUUCCUUCCCCCCCCACACCUGCCCAAAAAAAAAACAAACUCAUUCAAGGCAUUUCCCAGAUAAAAGGAAAUCAACUUCUCUAAAGAUAAAUUUUUAAUCCAGCUUGAAUUAAUUUUUUAUAAGGUGUAAGGAAGGGAUCCAGUUUCAGCUUUCUACAUAUGGCUAGCCAGUUUUCCCAGCACCAUUUAUUAAAUAGGGAAUCCUUAUUCCAUUGCUUGUUUUUGUCAGGUUUGUCAAAGAUCAGAUAGUUGUAGAUAUGUGGCAUUAUUUCUGAGGGCUCUGUUCUGUUCCGUUGAUCUAUGUUUUGGUACCAGUACCAUGCUGUUUUGGUUACUGUAGCCUUGUAGUAUAGUUUGAAGUCAGGUAGUGUGAUGCUUCCAGCUUUGUUCUUUUGGCUUAGGAUUGACUUGGCGAUGCGGGCUCUUGUUUGGUUCCAUAUGAACUUUAAAGUAGUUUUUUCCAAUUCUGUGAAGAAAGUCAUUGGUAGCUUGAUGGGGAUGGCAUUGAAUCUAUAAAUUACCUUGGGCAGUAUGGCCAUUUUCACGAUAAUUGAUUCUUCCAACCCAUGAGCAUGGAAUGUUCUUCCAUUUGUUUGUAUCCUCUUUUAUUUCAUUGAGCAGUGGUUUGUAGUUCUCCUUGAAGAGGUCCUUCAUGUCCCUUGUAAGUUGGAUUCCUAGGUAUUUUAUUCUCUGAAGCAAUUGUGAAUGUGAGUUCACUCAUGAUUUGGCUCUCUGCUUGUCUGUUAUUGCUGUAUAAGAAUGCUUGUGAUUUUUGUACAUUGAUUUUUGUAUCCUGAGACUUUGCUGAAGUUGCUUAUCAGCUUAAGGAGAUUUUGGGCUGAGACAGUGGGGUUUUCUAUCAUGCCAUCUGCAAACAGGGACAAUUUGACUUCCUCUUUUCCUAAUUAAUUCAAGAUGGAUUAAAGACUUACAUGUUAGACCUAAAACCAUAAAAACCCUAGAAGAAAACCUAGGCAAUACCAUUCAGGACAUAGGCAUGGGCAAGGACUUCAUGUCUAAAACACCAAAAGCAAUGGCAACAAAAGCCAGAAUUGACAAAUGGGAUCUAAUUAAACUAAAGAGCUUCUGCACAGCAAAAGAAACUACCAUCAGAGUGAACAGGCAACCUACAAAAUGGGAGAAAAUUUUUGCAACCUACUCAUCUGACAAAGGGAUAAUAUCCAGAAUCUCCAAUGAACUCAAAUUUACAAGAAAAAAACAACCCCAUCAAAAAGUGGGCAAAGGACAUGAACAGACACUUCUCAAAAGAAGACAUUUAUGCAGCCAAAAAACACAUGAAAAAAUGCUCAUCAUCACUGGCCAUCAGAGAAAUGCAAAUCAAAACCACAAUGAGAUACCAUCUCACACCAGUUAGAAUGGCCAUCAUUAAAAAGUCAGGAAACAACAGGUGCUGGAGAGGAUGUGGAGAAAUAGGAACACUUUUACACUGUUGGGACUGUAAACUAGUUCACCCAUUGUGGAAGUCAGUGUGGCGAUUCCUCAGGGAUCUAGAACUAGAAAUACCAUUUGACUCAGCCAUCCCAUUACUGGGUAUAUACCCAAAGGACUAUAAAUCAUGCUGCUAUAAAGACACAUGCACACGUAUCUUUAUUGCUGCACUAUUCACAAUAGCAAAGAGUUGGAACCAACCCAAAUGUCCAACAACGACAGACUGGAUUAAGAAAAUGUGGCACAUAUACACCAUGGAAUACUAUGCAGCCAUAAAAAAUGAUGAGUUCAUGUCCUUUGUAGGGACAUGGAUGAAACUGGAAACCAUCAUUCUCAGUAAACUAUCACAAGGACAAAAAACCAAACACCGCAUAUUCUCACUCAUAGGUGGGAAUUGAAUAAUGAGAACACAUGGACACAGGAAGGGGAACAUCACACUCUGGGGACUGUUGUGGGGAGGGGGGAGGGACAGCAUUAGGAGAUAUACCUAUUGCUAAAUGACGAGUUAUUGGAUGCAGCACACCAACAUGGCACAUGGAUACAUAUGUAACAAACCUGCACAUUGUGCACAUGUACCCUAAAACUUAAAGUAUAAUAAUAAAAAAGAUAAAUUUUGUCAUUCUUUUAAAAGGUUGCAGCAACUGCUGUGAUGGUUCUGAAUGCCACUCUUCCCUCUCUUCCAACAUAUGUACAAACUACAGAAACAGGAUGAAAAUGUAACAAAAUUUGAACAGAAAAUGCCUCUCAAAGAUUUCUUCCUGCUUUAAAAUUACCUUUUAUUUCAGUCUCAACAAUGAAGAUAAAUCAUUUUUAUAACACAGAUGUUUUAACAAAUAUAUUAACAAAUUUAGGUAAAGGUAAAAAGUGGCAUCAAAAUGUCAUGAGCAAAGACUGCUGGGGUGCAGGCCAAAUGCUGUGUUUGCUGCUAAGCCCCCAGCCUCACGUGCCCAGCGUCCCGCUUUCUUCUGUGCAGGCAGGGGCUGCCUCCCACCUCAGUCACUUUUGUUGUUUAAGACAGAGUCUCGCUCUGUUAAUCAGGCUGGAAUACAGUGGCACGAUCAUAGCUUACUACAAACUCGAGCUUUUGGGUCCAAGUGAUCCUCCCACCUCAGCACCCCCCAAGUAGCUGGGACUACAGGCGUGUGCCACCACACCUGGCUAAUUUUUCAAAAACUUUGUAGAGAUGGGGCUUACUAUGUUGCUCAGGCUGCCACUGCUCUUUACCAGCCUUUCUUGCUCCUCAUGCUUUGACAUGUGAACCAAUCCCAGCCAGUGGGACCCCAGGUGAUUGCUGGUGGGCUUCUGGGGGUGUUGCUUUCUAAUAAAGACAAAGGAGAAAGUCUCCUUUUCUUUGGCCAGAUGUUAGGUCUGCAAUGAUAGUAUCUGAAGCAACCAUGUGGAUCCCAUGAGGACAGCCUAAAGGCCAGGGCAGUGGCUGAGGUGGACAGCCUGGCUCUUGAUGACAUCAUUGAGCCACUGAACCAACCCUGUGACCACAGACUUCUUGGCCCUGCAUGUGUGAGUUCCUGACCAUGGUGGGUGCAGUGGUCUGUUACAGCUGAGGGCAUCCAAAUUUUAGGAACGUACAAAACAGUUUUCCUCUUCCUGAGGGUCAGGGCCAGUGAUGAGUGGGGCCGAAGUGAAGAGAUAAACCCAAUUUCCUGUAAGGCAGACAGAAUGCAGCUUGUCCAUGACGCAGGAGCUCCAUGCUCUGGGAUGCAUCUUGUUGGAGAAUAGAUCCCAGCCUGAGUGAGCAGCCCACAUUGAUGGAUUGGAGAUAGCGGAAAUAAAAAAUGCCUUCUCUUCCUUGCUCCUCAAUAAGUGAUUGCCUUCCAUUUCAGGCAGCAGAGUCUGAAUUCCAUGGUAGCAUGGAAAGGGGCACAGCAUCCUGGUUACAAACCUGAAGAGUACACAUCUCUCACUAAUGAAGCCAUCACAAUAUGGAGCCAGGUCUUCCCAUUUGAACGAGGAGAGAGGACAGGGUCACAUUUGCUUGCCUUUUACUGCUUACUCACUGAAUAGCAUCAGGGAAGGUUUACUUUAUGAACCUGGCACAAAGUAGGUUCUGGGCCUGAUGUUAACAACAUUCACUCUGCCCUCUUCACAAAUGAAAAGGUGGAAAAUUUCUGACUUCUGGUAAAUUCACAUUGCAAUGACUGUUUCUCUGGACACAGAUCUGGCAGUUCUCCCAUCCCUCAAGGCUGCUGUGAUUGAUUUAUUUUAAAAAGUCUUUCACGGUUUCAGAAGAACAGUUGAAAAGCUGUAGGUAGAGGUUAAUUUGGUGUUCACAAAUCAAGUGAUAGUCCACUCUAUCUCAUAGCUCAAUGAAUAGUAGGAUUAGGAGAGAAAUUUAACUUCAUUUUUGUAGUGAAUCCCUUUUUAUAUGUACCUUUAAAAACUUCUGCACUUCCUUUUUUUUCUCCUUUAGUGAACCUUAGCAUAUAAACAAGAUAACUUUUUAAAAAAGCAUUUUAUAUGUAGAGAUGAACUUUUAUAUUUCCUAGACUUAAAUUUGAAAGCAGGUAGAGUAGGCAAUUGUUUCACCUGCAUAACAAACUCCUUUUCUUUCCCCUUUUUUUAAAAGGGUCUCACUGUGUUGACCAGGCUGGUCUCAAACUCCUGAGCUCAAGUGAUCCUCCUGCCUUGGCCUCCCAAAGUGUAGGUAUUACAGGCGAGAGCCACUAUGUCUGGCCCCAACUUUUUCUAGGAAAUUCUGAGAAUUGUCUAAUCCACGAACUCCAUCUACAUGGUUAGUGCAAGUCACCAUGUUACUACAAUAUGGCCUAAGCCAUAAGUACUACCCACUCUUCAGAGCCUAGAAUCCUGGAGAGAGUUUACCUCUAUUUCAUUCUGUCUCCAAAUUUUACAGUGUUUCUUCCUGCAUCUUGUGAAAACCUUUGCAGAUGGAUAUUCUGUUCUGAACACUUUUCUCAGAGGUGCAUCAUGCUGUGUUGCUGGAGCCUACAUCUGUGUAUAAUGUAACCCUUGUGACCUUAUAGUAAUUACUAUAUAAACUUUGUCGAUGCGUUACUAUAAAGCUGGGUAAAAGUUGUGUUAGGUUUACAAUAAACAUUUUUUGUUGCAUACAUUGUAUACAUGUUUAUAAAUUGCCUUGUUUUGAACCAGAGCCAGGCUUAUUCCCAUUCCAAAUGAAAGCACCAAAGUCUCAAAACCUCCUGCCUCUUGCUUCUGUUAUGCUUUGGUCUUAUCCUCUACCCAUGAAUUGUUUCUUUGCUUUCCACAUAGAACUCCAGCUCAGCUACUCUAACUCAAAAGCAUAGAGAAAUUAUAAAAUUCAAGAACAGAUAUUAGAAUGGAGAAUGAGUUUAACUUAAUACCAGCAGUCUCAUGUUUAAAGUCUAGCAACUUUAUGUGUUUAUUUUUGCUUUAAUCUUGUCCUGGGUAAAUUUUUAGCUGUUCAUUUUUAUAUAACACAGGAUCAGAGAUAGCAAGAACACAUUAGUCUCUACAAGGCUAAUUCUACCCCAGCAACCCAUCAAAGCGACCCAAAUGACACGCCAUGCAUCUUGAGUGACCGUGCACUGCCAUAUACUCUGAGCUCUACUACAGGUAAUGUUACACCAAAUUGACAUUGUAACUGUGUUUCAAAUGUCUCUUAGAGACAAAUAUAGAUCAGUCGGUAUAAUAACCUCUGAAGACUUCCAAGAGUAAUGAGGUUUCGCCAAGGCUUUUUGUAUUUAUCAUGCAUAGUUUUCAGGAAAUAACUUAGGAGAAAGCCUGAUUGAUUUGACAGUCAUUUUGACCUGUGAUUUAUUUAUUAAAUACAAUUUGAAGAUUCCUAAAAUAAAGUAUUGCCAAUAAAUUAUAGAUCCUGUAUCUCUUUAUUAAAAACAAAUAAUUCCUUGUGAUUUUUAAAGUUGCAAGAAAAUGCUGAUGGAAAAAUUUUCAUGAUGUUGAAAUAGGUAUAAAUAAAAGCUUAUACAAAGCCACUGUCUCAACAUCAGCAGGAUAAGAGAUAAGAACUUUUGAGACAUUAUACUGUUCCCCAAAAAAACACUACUAAAUUUUUUUUCCUUCCCCUUUUUCUCUCCCCACUCUGUGCUUUCCUCCUUUCCAUCCUUAGUAACUGAGCUCCAUCUAUGGUUUUAAUCUUACUAAAUCAGAAAUUGGCUUGGUUUCAUUUGAAUUUCCUUUUAUAUGUGCUCAUGAUUAAAAACAAAACAAAAACCCUACUUUUGAUCACAAUCAGAUCUUUACUGUCCCUAACCAUUUACUGUCUAGUAUAUGAAGUAUAUGAAUUAUUCUAAUUCAAUAGGAUUCUAAUGCAAUUUGGCAAUAACUAGUAUUUGGAUUUAAAAAGCCAUUGGCAUAAACAGAAAGACAUGUUUAGGGGAAAUGAGCAGGCAAGCAAAUAAUUUAGAAAGAAGUGAUGGUUUCUGUGGUUAAAAAUAAAAGUCUGGGAUUUAGUUUUUCUUUGCCAUACAGAAAACAGAUGUUGCUAUUUUUGUUCAAAAUACAAAACUUAAAUUCCAUGCUUAGACUCUGGAAUGUGUAAAGUAACUAUGGAUACCAAAUUUAUUAUUAAAAAAAAAUCCGACAUUUAGUCUUCUGUUCAUAUUUGAAAUCAGGAAAUAAUUGUGCUCCUGAAAUGUUUUCUAUAUAACAGAUUCACUGAUUUAUACUCAGAAACACUGAAGAUACUUUCAGUUCUGGGCUCUCUUUGGGGGCAUAAGGUUAUUACACUAGUCUCUUGGGAACAAAAAUAAAAAUAGGCCAUGGAGAGAUGUUCUUGCUCCUCCCUUUUCUCCUUUUCUAUAAUCCUUUUCUUCCCCCAGAAAGAUGUUGAGAGAGAGACAGCCUGGCUUUCACCAGCCUACUGCUGCACCCUUGCACAGCUGCUGGCCCACUUGGGUGGAGGCUUCCAGUGGCACCCUCCACUGGGACAGUCCCACCUCCCGUCCUGGUCCCCAGAGGCUCCAUGUCUUACUCCCCACCCCAUCCUUCAGAAACUAGGUGAGCUAGUAAAAUGGAGUAAUUAUCUUCUGCAGUUUGCUUGAGUGUUGGCAAGAAAUUCCCAAUCUCAUAUCACUUACUCUUAUAUGUGAGAAAUAAUUAUUCUAAUUCUGCCCUGUCCCAACAAAUCUAAGCCCAUUGGAAGAAAUCAUGAAGAUAACAAUUUUCAUCCCAUUGGGUCAGUAUUGAGUGUUAUAAUAUCUCUGAGUCCCCACUAGGGUGUAAGCCCCAAGCAGGCAGUGAUGGCGCCUGAGUGCUCACCAAUGGAUACAUUCACUCAGACACAGUCACUGCCUGGCACAUAGUAGAUGUUCACACACACACAAAAAGAAAGAAUAAAAUAUACAAACACACUUACAGCAAUAGUAGUGACUUUCCCAAUGUAAUCUGUUCAUAAGAUUGAGCAAUCUGUUAUAAAUGCAAUGAUGCUUCUAUUUUAAGAAAAAAACUCAUACAUUUUCCUUAUACAAAUUAUGUAUGUGAGCAGAGUUUACAUUGGGGUCUUUUGGAAUGAACUGUUUAAUUACUAUUUUCCAGGUUUGUAAGAAUAAUCAUUUAUCUGAACCCACUAAAAUUUCUAUUUGUCUCUCUCUUCUGUUUUUUUUUUUCCUGGCUGCCCAUGAGAAUGCUGAGACACUAUCAAAUAGAUUUCAAUUCUGUGACCUGAACUGCAGUUGUGUAAGUGCUAUAUAUCAAAAUCACUUGCUUUAGUAAUUGAAGAGUAAACUGAAAGACAAUAUUGUAGAUGUUAAAGUUUCAACGUGAACAUGUAAUAAAUUAAAAAGAACAAACACGUGCUUUCUAGAAUAGAAGCAAAAGUUACGGGUUUUCUCCAUGGUCAUAUUUUAUUCAUUAUUCUACUUUCUGCACACUGUAUAUGCUUGAGAUAAAACAAUAACCAAGAUGAUAAAUAAAGACUGUUAGUUGUAGUCUGGGCGCCUAAAUAAGAGGAGUAUUCUUGCUUAAUGUCCCAUGGUUCUAGCUUUUCUCCACACAGCAGGAUUUAGACAUUUUCAUUACUACACAAAGAAGUCAUCAUUUGUCCUAAGAUAGACAAAUGAGAAUUUAAAACUUAUACAAAAGACAUCUUUUUCUUGGGUUAGAGAUGUCUAAUACAUCAUUUCUACAGGAUUAAUUUUUUAAGUUAUAUGAGCAGCCUGACCCAUUGCAUUAUAUGGAUUAGAAAACUCUCUAAGAAGCAAGAAUAUCAAAUCACUCUGUGGUUUGUUUUUGUGAAAUUGUCUGUUGUAAAUUGAGUACUCACUAGUAUUCAUGUUGGCAUUUGCAAAAUUACCACUAUGUUAAAACUCCCUCUCAGUUGUAGCUGUGACUAUGUUUAUCUGACUUCAGUUUUAUUGUCCACAAUUUGGAACGUGAACGGAACCUAGGACAGUAAAGGUGUUGAGGACAGCAAUAAAUGAGAUCUCAUGUAUCCAUUUUCAUCAGAAAAAAAUGGAAUAGGGACUGCAAUUUUACUAACUUCACAAAUAACUGAGAAUGUUCAUUUUCUCACUUCAAUGUUAUCUCCUUCACUAAGAGCGUAAGUACAGAAAGCAUAAUUCAUGAUGUAAUGAACUAUAACACCUCCUUUUCUUAAUUUAAAAUAUUUCCUUUUAUAUUACUCUCCCUUGAUUUGGGCUUCUGUAUUUUCUAAAAAAUGCUUUCCUUUACAUUCUAAUUUUGACCACACUGGAAACUGAUUUUACAGUUUUUUAUUAGAAAGUGUUCCAAACCAUUUUUCUUAAAUGUGAUUCUGCCCGUGCCAUCAGUCCUACAAAAGGAAGCUUUAAAAUUAAAGUGCUAUCCUCAUUAACAAAUAAGCAAAGCAUUAACCAAUACGCUAAGAGAGAAGCCCAUUUUUUUGAAUGGUGAAAAGUGGUAACAACUGCCUUUUCUUGAUCUAUGUGCAGGUGUCAGAAAUUACUAUUAAACACAACCUAUAUAUAGUAAAAAUCUGAUAAUCCACAUUUCUUAUAAGCUACUUUUUACAUUUUUAAUGUCUGGGUAUCCUAAAGGGGUUUUUCCCUGAUACUUGACUAUUACAUCCGCCUUUGCUUCUGCAUGAACACAUUUUACAUAGUGAAUUAUCUAAUUAAUAUAGAAAUAUUUUGAGAUAAUGCAUGAUAUCAUAUUUAACUUAUGAACUGCCUCAUGACAAAAGGUAAUGAGAGCUGAUACAAGCCCUCUCCUGAAGUGGCAGCGAGUAACCCGGGCAGGCUUUGCUCUGGGUCACUCAACCCUCUCUCCCCCACAGUCUGCCACCAGUGCCUUCACAGUAAUCUGCUUGUGCUCAGUGUCCUCGGAGGUUUUUGAGAUUAACUUGGAUUUGGCAAAUGUUAGGUGGGAUUUUGUGUUUAAAUAAUGCAAGGUUAUAGGACUUCAAGAAUAAAUGAAACCACAUCUCUAAAUACAAUCUAUACCUUUGCUGCAUGCUUGCUUUUUGGUGGCACUUUGAAAAGGGAAACUGUCUGUGAUGAUUUGUUAAAAUGAAUAGUUGCUGCAUGCUCUCCUCAAAGUCCUUAACUUGGAUUUGUUAAAGCAGUUGUACAUAGGAUGCUGUGGUUAUUACUAAACACAUAAAAAUUAUCAAUAAUCAACCCUAGCCUCAACAGUCUGCUGUUCAACAGUGGUAAAAAUAACAAAUAGACAAAGCAUUAACAUUACUAAGGAUCAGCAAACAAACUUACAUAUUAGAAAAAAUGUUUAGAAAUGCAUCUAUUGGAAGCCUCAUGGUAUCAACUGCCCCUUGCCCUUUGCAAUCCACCACCUAGCCUAAGUGAUCUUACUUUUAGUUUUUUAAAAUAUUUUGGAUAAUGUGCAGAUGGUGAGCUAUUCCUAAAUAUUGGACGUAAUUUUAAGUUAAUGACUUUUGCCUUAAUUCACUCCGUACCGUGUUUUCGACUAGAUUUGUUUCAUCCAUUACUUUGGGGUAAUCUCUCAUAGCUUCCCAAACCUAUUUCUGUAGCCAAGAGUAACUGCUGUGGAACUACAGGAAGGCCUCACAUUUUAGGCAAGAGAUAACUUGCUAAACUUAAUUAUGUACAUAAAACACAAAAGGUGGGAUGAUACGGGACAGGAAUUUUAGAAGGUAUGAACUCUAAUUGAUUUCAAAUUAUUUCACUGAAUCCAGAGAGGACAAUAAAGGAAAGUAAAUAAGUGUUAAUAGUUUACAUUUCAAUUAUUAUAUAAGGGAUCAUUAGUUUUAAAAAUCGUUAAAAUUUCAAAAGUGAAUUAAAAUCAAAUUUGUGUUUUUCCUUUUCUGUGAUUUUCUAUAUAUUUUCAAAUAUCACAUAGUAAUGAAAUAUAAAACUAUUCAUUUUGAUUCAACCCGAAAAGCAAAGGUAACUGCAAAAAAGCAAUGGAAAGAUCUUGGAAUGAAUUUGAGACAUAUCUAGCUAUGGCAGGGCUCUUGCUCAUUAUUCAUAUAAAAGAAAGGGAUGGCCGGGUGUGGUGGCUCACACCUAUAAUCCCAGCACUUUGGGAGGCCAAGGCGGGUGGAUCAUGAGGUCAAGAGAUGAAGACCAUCCUGGCUAACACAGUGAAACCCCGUCUCUACUAAAAAUACAAAAAAUUAGCCAGGUGUGGUGGAGGCCACUUGUAGUCCCAGCUGCUCGGGAGGCUGAGGCAGGAGAAUGGUGUGAACCUGGGAGGCAGAGCUUGCAGUGAGCCGACAUUGCGCCACGGCAUUUUUAAGUAGGAUUGUUCUGCUAUCAAUAUGAGGCUGCUGUUGGUCAUAUUAAGUCAUACUACUUCUUAACACUGCUUUUAUUAACAAGUCAGCUUCAUAUAUGAAAGGCUCAUGCUUCUAAGUUGCAAAUUUUACUGCUACUACUAAGAGUCAUCGUGAAUGAAAACACAGCAAUAUUUCAAUAUACCAGAAUUUCCCAAAGGGUGUUCUUUAGAACACAAGUUCCUUGCAGUGUUACUAGGUGCUACUCAAAAAAGUUUCUGUGGUCAAAUUAAUCUGGAAAACACUGGGCUAACUGACAGUAGAUAUUUGUUGUUUUUUUCUCUCCCCUGCAGGACAUUUAAAUUAGAGCCUUUAAUGGACUCAUUUUUACUAACUUUCUAAGAUGGUAUGUGUUUUCCAAACUUAUUUGAUCCUAGAAUCCUAUAUUUAGAAGAGCAUCUUUGGAACUUGUGCUCUUUGGAACACACUUCGGGAAACACUGGAUUCUAUUAUUUCUAUAGCUAACUAACUAGCUCAAAAGUCUAGAUAUCAAUGACUUAAUCCAGAGGCAAUUAAACAGGCAUAGUAUCUAACAAACAGUCAUGUCAUUUCUCCAGAGCUGGAUGACAAAUGCUGGUGCGACAUGCUAAGGCAAUUUGGGGGAACUAUUAGGGGAUGAACAGUCUAGUGGUAGGUCAAAAGGAGGAAAAAAGAAUUUCUGAAAUCAUUGGAAAAGUUUUAUACAAAGCAUAUAUUCCUAUAAUUUCAAAUAUACAAUGAUUUGCUGCCUUUUCUAAACACAGACCUUUCAUUGACACAGUUGCAAGAGCGAUCUGGCAACAACUUUUAGAGAACAAAAAAAAUCAGGAAAAUCAAGAUACACCUUGAUACACAAGUUCUUGCAAUGUUACUAGGUGCUACUCAAAAAAGUUUCUGUGGUCAAAUUAAACACAAAGGAAAUUAAAUGCAAAGGAAACAGUGGACUCAAUUUCCUAGAAUCCAACAGUGAAAUCAAUUCCUAGAGUCACUUCGGAUUAAAUUGAAAUGAUGAUGCCAUCACUCUCAUGCAAUCCUGUUUGCCAUUUACCCAAAAUGAUGUAAUAGUUAUACUUGUAUGAAAUAAAGCCUGUUUUAAAUUA